CCUAAUUCCUAAAUCAGUAUCCAUAAAAAACUAGAAUUAGAAAUUGAUUAACUAGAAUGAAAAGAAGUGUUAAUGUGGUGGCGAAUAAAUUGGAGGUGGAGACGGAUACCUAUUUGGGCUAAAGGCCCAAGGUCCACCGUCCAAAUCUGGAUUUCAACCUGUUUGAAAAAAUCCGAGAACCCAAUACAAGCGUGCCACGCCACGAAAACAGUGUUAACGUCAAAGCGGAUGCCUGUCACCGUCGGCGCCUAGAUUCUCUCCACGGGUGAUCCGAAUUCCUCCGUGCAAAACUCCUGUUUCCAUGUCGCCGACGAUGAUACAAGUUUGAUACCGUGUUUCGUUCGCGAUGAAGAUUGAAGCCUUGUCGCGGGUGUUACGAAGACAGAGAUAUCACUUUCGGAUUCUUUUUCAACGCCUCACUCAUUGUCCCCUCCAAUGAUAUCUCCGGUUUCUAGGAGGUUCAGGGUGCACGUAGAAACACGAACGGUUGGCGGUGUUGUCCCUCCCGGUAGCGUGCGAUUUCAAGAAACAGGGAGAAAGGUUAUGAAGAUUGAGAAUGGUUUUUCGCGAUCGCGAAGGUGAAAGCGUCGAAGAAUGAAGAUCGUUUCGGAAGUCCCUUCAAGAUUUGUUUCUAGGUUAGAUACCUCUCUGUUUGUGAGAUUCAUUUCAAGCUCUUCUUCAUCCGUUUCCGUCUACUUCUGUUGUGAGCAGUUACGAUUCCGCUCCACUCUCGCUUUUUUGUUAUGGAGUUCUCGUUGUUCUGUGAGUGAGGGAGUUGGAAUUGAAGGUUUCUCUUUGUGGAUUGCAGGUUUGGUUGGUCGUUGUAUGAAUUGGAGAACUCAGUUACAGGAUGGGAGAAAACCAAAUGCCGAGUUCAGUUCUUGUUACAGAAUCCAGUGGAAUUCAUUUGUAGGAUCGAAUUACAGAGUUGAGAUGCAAGGUCUAGUUGCAGAAUUGAGUUGCAUCAUUUGAAGCUUGAUGUAUUUGUGAAAAAAUGUGAAUCUGAAUUCGGUGAAGAAUUCUGAGUUUUACUUAGUGAAGGGUGUAGAGGUUGAAGAAGAAGAGCAGAAGAUGGUGAAAAAGCAUAAGGUUGGGGAAGAACAUGGCCGGAAGGGAUUGGAGAAUUCUAACAAAAAUGGAAGAGCACACGAUCAUGAUAGGGGGAAUCCUAGUUUGAAGAUUCGAGCCCUAAUUCCGCUCCCUUCACGUCACAGAAUGGACUCAAGGCCAAGAACUUCAACCGAUAUCAAGAACACCAUGGAAACAAGGCUAGCAAUUCGCACAAACUUCAACCGAUAUCAAGAACACCAUGGAAACAAGGCUAGCAAUUCGCACAAGCAAUGGAAUGAAAACAUGACGCCAUGAGUUACGAUAAAUUGAAGCAACUUACCCGAAUGAAGCGAUGCGGAGGUUCCGGUGCCGUUCACAUGGGACUUUCUUUGUGUGCUUUCUACAAUUUCUUCUUCUUUCUUCUUCUUUUGAGUUCGUGAGUGGUGAAAAGAUCUUCUUUUGAGUUCGUGAGUGGUGAAAAGAGACUGAGGCGUCUUAGCUCUAGCAGAAUUGAAUCUUCGAUGUGAAGCUUCAAUGGCUUCUCUGAAAGAGAAAAAGAGCUCUGGUGAGGGUGAGGGAGAAGGUUGCAAGAGAGAGAGAGUGAAGGUUUAAGCCAAAAAAAUGCCAAGGCUCAGAGUGUGAGUGAUCAAUCCCUUAAAUAGAGUUGAGGUUCGGGAUUUGCUAGCUUCGGAUUGAGGUUAGGAAUUAGUUGAGGGUGGCUUGGAGUUAGUUAGGGACUACUCACUGAGUUAGCUGAUAACUCAGUUAAUUAGUGAGCAAACACAGUUAGUUAUUUGAGUUGAUGUUGGUUAGUGAGUGAGCGAAUUGAAACUUGACUGGCUACUGCAGGUUAAAAUUAGAUUACAGUCCUGUUGAAAUGGUUUUGACGACCUGUUAUUCAUGUUACAGGUUUGGCUUGUAUCAUUAUGAAGUUAGAAUGGUUGGUAAGUGAUUGUUUUGAUGUUGUUGGAUGUACAGGUUGAAGGAAGUGAAAUGCAGUGGGAUUCUGCAGGUGUGGUUCAGCUCAAAGCACUGGAAAAAUGACUAUCUUGUCAACGAACUCGACAUCCUCAGCAAAGAAGCCAUAAAAUUCGGAGCUAUGAAAAUAGGAAUCUUUUGCAGCAAACAGGCUUAGCAAACCCGCCUGAGUCGUUUUCCAAAUUCUCACGUCAACAAUUCUCCUGAUCUAAACAACUCUAUGGGCUUAACAUUGUUACUUUCCUGUAACAGAUGAUGUUGUAGUCAGAGAAUCAAUGCCUUGCAUGUUCCUUUUUUUCAGGUAAGUGACUUUCCGUCAAUGGACGCUUAGGUGUUGUUCUUCACUGCUUAGCAUCUCCUUGAUGUUUUUUUGCUUGCAUCGAACCUUGCUGUUGAACCGUCAUGUAAUGCUACAGGUGGUUCUGCUCUCAUGCUCUUUGCAGGUCUCAUCUACGGCACUCGUGUCCAAGCUGGAACGGUAUGUCGGUUGAUGGAAUGGCGUUGUGCAACCAUGGACUUGAGACUUUUGCGUGUCACUGCAACUUGUUGAUGCUUUGGGUUAUUACUGUCAUUUUGCUUUGGAGGAGACAACAGCGAUACUUGGGGUUGGGGAUUGCAUCAGUGAUUUUGACAUUUGACUUAAAUACGCAAAUUAGCUUACUACUGGCUACGACUUUGCGGGUUAGAUGGUCGGUGCAAUUGGUUAAAUAUCUUGACGACAGUGUUGGUUUUCUGCAGCAGCAUAUAUGCGGCGUCAGUGUUUCCGUAGCAGCAUUGGUGUGAUGGUUCAGGUUUACAUUAAGCAGGGCUUGUGGUAGAUGCAAGGCUUUGAAUCGAUUAGCAAGUUCAGGUCUGCAGAUUCUGUUUGGAAAUUACAGGUAGCCUACCAGACCGGCUUUGGGUUAUUAAAAGGCUUGUUGAGCAUGGCCAUGGGAUUGGUAGCUAUGAGUUUGGUAGACUUGAACUGGUGAUUAUUAUGGGGGAUGUUCAAUUCAGUUUAGUUACUCAAUUUUUGUCAGAUUGAAGAGUUAAUUAGUCAGAUGAUGAGGUUAACUGUGGUGAAUUGUUAAGGUGUGUGCUGCUAUGCUAAGUUUUCUGUUUUGGUUGGUGAUAAAAUAUUCACUUAUAACUGCCAAGUAUUAUGGAGUGUAUACAGAUAUUGCAGCCAGUGCCCCACCGACGAACAAGACAGCUUUUGACAGCAGACGGUCUUUCGGUACUUGCUGCGCUGUUGUUAUCACUACCCUCCAAAACCUGUAUUGAAAAUGCUCUCCUGGCAUGGCUUGACGGCAACAUUUCAUUACACUGCUCCAACUCUUUACUAGAUUCAGCAUCAACCUUGGCAAACUUAUGAAAGUUGCGGAGCUUAGCUGUCAAACGAAGAUUACGACGUGGCUCCCCUGAAGACAUUAAUUCCCCAACUGUUUCACUUUUAAGACUUAUAUCAAUGGACAUUGGCGAUUCUGCUACUUCUGAAAGGUUUUGGAGGGAUAUCAGAUGGUUGCCGGGACCUGACGAACACAACUGCCGCGUUGAAGCCCGAAAAAUUCCAGCUGCUGCACUAGCUUCAAUAAGUUCUAUCUUCCUUUCUCUGUCAUUUUCCAUCAUUAAUGAAAAUGGUUGUUUGAAUUUGUUCGUAUGGUUUAUGGUCUGCUAUGUUGAUAAAUGUGCAAUUGUUAUAAGUUUGUCUUGCUACUUAUUUUCAUGCUUGAACUAUUCUGAUGCCAUUGUUAUGAUUGUGCAGAAUUCAUGUCUGCUGCAGGUCCACAUGCUUGAGUUCAUGUGGUGAAAUGGCUAUGAGGAAUAACAUCAGAGCCAUUCAUCAAUAGACACUGAAUCCAUACUUCAUGAAGUCUUCAGUUCAUCCAAGCCAAAACGAGCCAGAAACUUGUGAUUCUCUUCAAGGAAAACGGAAAAGGUGGUACCAACUCUCUCUAUGUCAGCAUUAACAUCGCCACCUCCUUGUAUCACUUCCCUGAAUUUUUUCCUAUCAAGAGUUAUUCCGUUAAGCGUGGAAACCGUAGGAAAGCUCACUCGCUGCUAUUGUCUAUGGUUACUGCAGGGUUUGCCAUUUCUACAGGUUGGCUGCUGUCGUUGCGGAAUGAUUGGGUCCACGUGGUUAUGUUCGUUGUUGCCGCAAUUUCCUGAACUGAGAUGGUUCUUUGGUGCAGCUGUUGGUGUACUGCAGGACGGUGCACCAUGAUUGUGUAACGGAUGGAAAACAAACCCAUUCGAAGCCCACUCGAACGUAAAAUUUGGAGAAAUUCUACAGGGAGUAUUAACAUUCUGUCAAAUGGUGCAGAGCAAUAUUCUGCAAGUUAAAAUGGAAUUGUAGGUGGUGGUGUGGCCGUUCCUAUCAUGUUCAAAACACCAGAGGAUUGUUGCACAAUCUCAACGGCAGCAGUAUCAUCCAUCUUCAUUUUAGACCUUGAUAUUGAUGGUGUCCCUGUAAAGUUUUAGCUGCACUUCAAUAAUGCUUCUGGACCAUCAUCACGAGAAGGAGAAUCCCACAACUUUGAUGCUUAACAUCCCUCAUUACUCCACCAUUUGUAGCAUCAAUACAAGGAGAACUGGACAUGCCAAUGGCAUAAGUGAAGUUAUCAGGUGUACUAGAAACAAACUGCUGAUGUUCAGGCUCAGCGGAAUGUACCGGUCGAGUAGAUUGAGAGGACAGCGGCUGGAGCCAUUCGAUCUUCCUCUGUAAUUGGAUGAUACAUUGUGGAUUAGUUACUAUUUUUUUUUUAUAUUGAAGAGAACCGUAAGUUGCAACAGUGUCA